ACACUGCUGAAGAGUCUCAUACUGGGACGAAACGGCCGUCCAAUGU
rnacentral:hammerhead_ribozyme from 1 species